GAUUGAAUUGUUAGAUUUUUAGUUGUGGGAAUUUUGAUCUGAACUCGAUCCAAAUUAAGUGUUCUUCUUCCACAUGUUUUUAGUAGUUUCCUGAGCGCCAAAGCAAGUCAAUUCUUCGGUCUCUCCUUCGUUAGGGUUUUCAACGGAAAUGACUCAACAAGACAUGGCUUAGAACCGAGACGAGGAAAGAGUCAAGUCUGUCUUCUGCAUCUCACACUGGAAGAAGAAAACAGUGGGAGGAAGCAAAAUAAAGCCAAAGGAGGUUCCACCAACAUGAAGUCCAUUUUGAAACUGCAGCACUUGAAGAGUCCGGCAAUGUGGGCUAGUAAGGAAGCUUCCAUUCCUUCUCUAGGUGCCUUUUUGGGGCACCGUUUGAUGACAUGUGGAGACCCAGAUCCAUCCUUGUUUCCUUGCCAGAGAUGUGAAACAAUUCUUCAGCCUGGCCACAACUGCACCGUCCGAAUUGAACCAAAUAGGGCAAGAGCACCACAUGGCCGCAAGAAAUCUAAUGCUUCGACUCAAAACAUUGUCACCCACUGGUGCCAUUUCUGUUCACAUCAUAAUGUGAAGACGGGAACCCCAAAGGACCAUACAAAGAGAUAUGUCCAAAGGUGAAGCCAUCUUCAGUUUCCAAACAACUAAUCCAAUGCCUCAAAAGGCUGCUAACCCAGAGACAGUCCUGCAAAAUGAAGUUGAAGUUGGUAAAACAGAUGAGAUAACUUCAUCAACAACAGCAGUUGAUAUUAUCACAGAUAGUCCAGCAACUCCACCUGUGAGAAAAGGUAAUACUCUGUUGAGGGGAAAGAGGAGAAAAAGAAACAAUCCAGGAUCUAACAAACAAGCUGAACCUGAAAGCAACUCUGCCUCAGCUGACACAGAGAAAUCUGUCAGCACAUCAAACAAACGAAGGAGAAAAUCUUGGACAAGCCUGAGGGUAAUCGCCGAAACCAGCAAGCAGGGUAACACUCAGAACAUUGCAAAUUUAACAAUCCCCUUUUUUCUAUAGGUAGAACAAGCCAUUCAUUGACAAGGAACACCAACCACAGAUGAAUGAGAAAGCCCAGCAUUCAGUGAGGGGCUGGUCAAAAAAAUUAUCUGUGGACAUUGAUAUAUCAUCUGUGGUGAUCGAAGCUAUAAAAGCUUCUCAAAAAAUCACUUUGAAUGACUUUUUAGAUUCUUAUAAGUUUUUUGAAAAAUCUUGCCAAAUGCUCA